rnacentral:rRNA from 1 species
CGUAGGGUGCGAGCGUUAAUCGGAAUUACUGGGCGUAAAGCGUGCGCAGGCGGUUUGUUAAGAUAGGCGUGAAAUCCCCGGGCUCAACCUGGGAACUGCGCUUAUGACUGGCAAGCUAGAGUACGGCAGAGGGGGGUGGAAUUCCACGUGUAGCAGUGAAAUGCGUAGAGAUGUGGAGGAACACCAAUGGCGAAGGCAGCCCCCUGGGUCGAUACUGACGCUCAUGCACGAAAGCGUGGGUAACAAACAGGAUUAGAUACCCUGGUAGUCCACGCCCUAAACGAUGUCAACUAGGUGUUGGGAGGGUAAAACCUUUUAGUACCGGAGCUAACGCGUGAAGUUGACCGCCUGGGGAUACGGCCGCAAGGUUA